ACUCUCUGGUUGCCACCUCCUUUGGUGGAGAAACUCUAGACGCCAUCUAGGGAAGAAGGAGGAUCAAAAUCCUUGCCACCCAAGGAUUUCUAGUCCCACUAGGAAUCCUUGCUGCCCCACCUUUAUUGCUGCUGUCCCCUUUCUUUUGGUCAUUGGUUGCUGGUUCCAGGUGUUCAUUAGAGGUCUAGCAAGAGGCACUUUAGAUCUGAUAGUAAGGAGAAAAGAUUGAGUUGGGAGA
rnacentral:lncRNA from 1 species